UCACGAUGAACUUUUUUUCAAUGUUACUUUUUAAUUUUUGCCUCUAUAUUUGGGCUUGUCACUUUUUACUCGGGGAUAGUAACUUUAUUGCCACAAAGCUGUGGAUUAGUACUUGAUUUCCUUUAUUGCACAGCGAUGACUAUGAUUUAAUAGCACAAAAAGCUAAUGGGUUUAUGUGAAUUUAUAUGAUUAAUGCUUACUUGUGAUUUUAGGAUAACUGGAGAUAAUGAUUUCUUUUUUCCAUUGAUAUUACAUAAAUAUUUUCCUAAGUAUUAUGUUACAAUAAAUUGGUUUAGAUUUUUUUUUUUAUAAAAGUAAUCAAUAAUUACAAUGGAAAUUAAAACCAUAAUCAUGUUCAUUGAGGAUUUUCAAUAUGUAACAGGUCAAACAGGAACUUCAAUUGUGAACAUUGCAGAGAACACACUCAUCAGAAGAUGACCCUCAGAAAUAGGACAAUUAAUGAAUAAAAUGGACAGAGGCAGAACUGAAGGAGAUGCAUGAAAUGAGGAAUAUUUCAAAGAUUGCCUGAGCAUAACCACUGCUACUGGAUAAACAUAUGGCAAUAUAAAAGAGCAGGGUCAAUGGAGGUAUCAUACAGUAUAGGCCAUGAGAGACCCUGAAGAAGAAAGUAUUGAACAGAAACAAAAAUAAAACCAUUUUGACAUUUAUUGAAAUAUAGGAUCAAAGUCUUACAUGUAAAAUUUGGGCAUGUAAUGACUUUUCUCUAGCUCUAAGACUUAUAACAGUGAUGAUUUGAUUUAAUAUCUUUAUCCCGAUUUGUCGAAAAGAUUUGGACAUAGUGCAUCAAUUAUUUUAAAGUUUUGAUACAACGAAUUCAUUCAUUGUACUUGUUACUGAGUUUUCUGGUGUGACACUGUUUUAUCGGCUUCAAAACUUAGUUUGUGAUUUCCAAACCAGAUUAAUGAGAUCAUGUAAUAUCUUUUAACAUCGGUGACUAUUUAAUCCAUUCUUUUACAUCUCAGAAGUAUUUUUAUUAUUACAGGGAAAAUAUGCAUUGUACAUGUAUCUGUAAUAAACAAGAUUAUAGAAAUUUUCCAUAUAAUACAACACAAUCUUAGCAACUGAAGGCAAAUAUUUUAUCAAGGGUGUGAUCUAUUUAUCAAUAUGGUUUUCAGCAUCUUGCUCUACCUGUAAUGACUUGCUCCAAGUUCCAAUAUUUAAAUUUAAAUUUUGCAAACAUGGUUAUAAAAUUCUUUAAAAGCCAAAUAGUUUAGGCACAAAAUGCUUAUAUAUUUCCUAUCAUUUGUAAAGUGUACACUGAAUGAGAUGUGGAAUGUUAGAAUUAAAGUAUUAAAUAUG